ACUCUUCAACCCACCGGUUCCUUGUUGGACCGAGCUGGUGUUUGGAUUCUGAUCGCUGCAAGCUCUGUCUUGCUCGGUCGUAAUACAUUAGCCCUCUCAAUUUCGAACUUCGGAUUGACUCAGCGUAAUAGACUAUUCGCUGAGGACACCCUCGGGUGGCCGACCAGUAGAUGACAGUAGAGGCUUCCAAUCCAUCUAGUCAAAUCUUUAG
rnacentral:misc_RNA from 1 species